UACGAAGGGGGCUAGCGUUGUUCGGAUUUACUGGGCGUAAAGCGCACGUAGGCGGAUCUUUAAGUCAGGGGUGAAAUCCUGGAGCUCAACCACAGAAUGGCCUUCGAUACUGGGACGCUUGAGUCUGGUAGAGGUUGGUGGAACUGCGAGUGUAGAGGUGAAAUUCGUAGAUAUUCGCAAGAACACCGGUGGCGAAGGCGGCCAACUGGACCAGCACUGACGCUGAGGCGCGAAAGCGUGGGGAGCAAACAGG
rnacentral:rRNA from 1 species